rnacentral:tRNA from 1 species
AAGGCCUUAGUUUAAUUAAAACAUUUGAUUUGCACUCACAAAAUGCAAGAUAGAGUCUUGUAGGUCUUA